GAACCAGAUAAUACCAUUGGGGAACUCAAAGAGGCUGAGGCUAUUUGGAGUAAACUUGGAGUGCCAAAUCGAUGAAUCAGAGCCAUCUACAGCAGAUGGUUCGUCUUUAUCAAGCCAGGGUCCAACCCAACAGCAACUCUACAGCUUUUACUCUCAGCUUAUUCUUCUUCUUCAAAUAGCAGCCAUGGUCACAUGGAUAUAACUUUAUCAAGAG
rnacentral:misc_RNA from 1 species